UAUUAUAUUAUAUAAACUAAAGAAACAAAAGAAAGGAAAUAGAAACAGAAUGAAACGAAACAGAGAGCAGGGGAGAAAAAGAAAGAAAGAAAGGGAGAAAAGAGAAAAUUGAAGGUUUGAAGCUUUAAGCUUUAAUAGGUUAAGUAAAGAUAGUACGUUGAAUCAGCAUCCCAAGACGAUCCCGGAUUCAUUAAGGUAAAGUAUGUUGAGUAUUGAUAAUGGCAUGUACCCAGGAUGUUUAAUGAGAGUCAUUUAGGUUGUAAAAAUAUUGAUGAAAUGAGUAAAUUAUGGUUGGCAA